UCUCUUCCUCUCUCUUUUCCUCUCCCUCUCUCUUCCUUUCUCUCUUUCUCUCUCUCACGACUACUACUUCAUUUUUUUUCUCCCUCUUCUCCCUCCUCUUCUUCUUCCUUCUUCCUUUUCUUCUUUACAAACCGUAAUGAUACUCUUUGUAAUACUUGGCUAAUGAAACCCUAAUCAAACUCAUAACUAUGCACAAAAUUAGGGUUUCAGAAAUCCUAUGAAAAUGAAAAAGACGCAUAAAAUUAGGGUUUCAAAAAUCCUAUGAAAAUGAAGAAGAUGCAUAAAAUUAAGGUUCUUUUGGUUUGAUCUAUGGAUUUCUAACUUCUUCGUCAACAGUAACAAAUGAUUUGUGGGUAAAAUAGAAAGGUUGUUUGGCCCAAGACUCUAAACCGUCUUAUGGAGAAUGGUUUAUGGAUGUUUUCAUGUUACUGAUCAAAAUGGGAAAAAGUGUCCAAGCCCUUAUACAAUUUGGUUGUUUGUCAAGGAUCCUUAGAAGAGCAUAUUAAGGGAUGAGAACUCUAAUGCCGAUAAUUUUUUCUUUGGUGCCUCUGCCAAUUUUAUUGCCGGAACUGCAGCAGGUUGUACAUCACUUAUCUUGGUAUACCCCUUUGAUAUUGCACACACCCGCCUUCCUUUUCCUAGAGCAUUCUACGGGGCACAUUAUUGGAUGUGCCGUACGUGGUGACGAGCCUUAUGCUGAAGACAGAGUUAGUAGAGUGAACGCAUCAAGGCGGUGAGAAUGAUUAAUAUCUUUCUGCAUCAGCCAUCACUCCAUGAUUAAUAUCUCGGGAAGCAGGAAAGUAUGGAGGCAACUGUUGAAGUUUCAAAGAGUUUUAAUGAAAAAUUAGGAAGUAUUGUGACAUGACACUACUGUCAUGCUCCUAUGCUGGAAUUGGGAAUGUUCUCAAGGUGCCAAAUCUUUUGCGUCAUUGUUUACAUCAUCAUGACAAAGGUGAAAUGCACCAAGGUCCAGUAAUUCUUGGAAUUUAUAUGGUAGAAUUGGCGGAAGAAUUAGGUGUUGAGAUGGAUAUUCGAUCGUUAGAACAUCUUCUACAGUAUGGAGAGCAGAAUAUUUGGUGAGCUGUUCCUGUGGCACUUGGUCUACUGUGCAUAUCAAAUCCAAAGGUAAAAUAGAUUUUCCUCCCUGCUAUUUAUCAGUGUGGAACAUAUUAUGACCUUCUUCUGAAAAAUGAUAGAUGGUAGACAUUUGUUGCAAUCUCAAGCAAGAUUUUGUGUUUGUUUACUUUGCUGAUUGGUAACUCUUAAAUUGAUAGUCACAGGUUAAUGUUAUGGAUACUUAAGCAGACUUGGCCAUGAUACUGAUUUAGAAGUAGCAGUGGCUAAAUGGCUAAUCAUCAUACGACAAUAUUAUGUAACUGAAAAGGAACAGAUUAUUACAAAGUGAAGCAUUCUUUGUUUGUUUGCAAAUAGCUAACAGUUAUGUGCCAUGGUAGAAAUUAAAGAAGCAAGUAUGUGCCAUGGAUAUUAUUAACUAGCUAACAGUUUUCAUGUAGCCUAGACAAAGUAUUAACCUAAAAAAUUAUUAUUCUGUACAUGUGCUUUGUUAGUUAUUUUGGCCUAAAAUUUAUAUUUGCUUGCCUGCUUGCCCCCGUAUAUUUUUGGGUUCUCAGCAUGAAGUACUAUAGUGUUGGGACAUGAAUCAUAAAAAAGCUAACAAAUGUUUUAUUUUAAAAAAUUUGUACAAAUGAUGAAAAUUGAAAUGGAGGGACAUGAAUCAUAUAAAGUUUAUAGUUGUUGGGGCUAUUGCUCUCAAGGGUGUUGGAGGGAUUUUUUUCAUACUCCGCAGUUCGCUUGGAGCUAUACUUCUGGUUUGUAGUUUGAAUUCUCUCCAUGCAAUUUAGUUUAUAAAUUUAUUUUCAAAUUUGUUGUUUAAUAUGGUUUUUUCUCCCUUUAGCUUUUGCUUCAGUUGAUUAACACUCCAAUAUUGUAUGAUUUCUUUUGUUCAACCAUAACUCAAUUGUGUUUGGAUCCUUUUCUUUUUCCAUCUGAUUGAAUUUUGUUUGUUUCCCACUGAGUCAAAUUUAACAAUGGAAACAUAACAUGAACUUGUCACAAAUAAAUUUGUUGUUGUGGUUCAUAAUCCAUUGGUAAGUGUGAGAAGCUAAUAUUGAAAUCCACAGUUUUACCCUUGCUGGUCAAUAAAUCUAAAACAAAGGUUGUAAAAAGUUAGAAGCUUAGAAUAAGAAUUCCGAAUCUGGAAAUACAUUUACCUUAGAAUUCAUCUUGAUUUUCCAUUAUUUGCUUUCAAUCUCCAUUAACAUAAGAGAAUUGCUCAUUUGCACCAAGAUACUGCCAUCAGCUCGGUUAGCAUAACAGAUGUGGGGAUGCCCAGGGUCUUGUACCGUAAGUUUUGUUUAAAAUUGUAACCUUCUAUAUGUUUUUAUCAUCUUUUUCUAUUUAGAUGGCCAAGUUGUUGAACCUUAACAUUUAAUGGGUUUUAAUGGUGAUUAUCAAUGACUAUAACCCCUUAUAUUUUAUUUUCAUGUGUACACAAACUCAACAUCACUUAGAGAUGAAUAUCCUAUUCCUAAGAAUGCAAUACUUUGUGGUAGGGUUAUCGGAACACAUACACGAACCAAAUUCACUUGGCUUUUUAAAAUAUAUGAAAUGAAAUACCGUUACGUGAUUUUAAAAUCAUAUACCAGUAUAAAUUUCAUAUAUAAAUUAUUAUAAAAAUAUGUACUAAUUUCUUUUUAAUAAAUAUAAAUUAUUAUAAAAAUAUGCAAUUUCUUUUUAAUAAAUGUAACUAAAUAUAAUUAAUCAAUAUCAAUAUGAAAAGAAACUUUUUUUGGAUUUGUUUCUCAAUAUCAAUAUAAUUAAUCAAGAUCAAUAUCAAUUUUUUGGAUUUUUGUAAUUAGAUAUAAU